CCGUUCUCCUUUUGCUCAUAGGAAAGAAAAACAUGGAUUUCUCGCACAAAAAUACAAAAAAAAAAAAACCUUCACAAAAGGAUUUCCUCCACGAACAUAAAAUAAACUUAUUCCGUUCACGAAAAACCUAAGAACAAACCCUACGAACAAAACCAGGGUUUUUACCCUGAGAAACAAAUCAUUAAUCAUGAUACAGAGAAAAGAAAACCAAUGAUAUGCUUCCAAUCCAUCGAACGUCUUCUUAAUCGCCAUAUCUCUGGCUCUCUGCUAUGAAUAAAAAAAUCUCCUUUAUUCUCUCGCCUCCGAUAACCCUAAACCUUCAUCACUCACUGUUUUUAUUUUUCUAAUCCUUUAUAAUCCUAAGUUAGGGUUUCAGAUGAUUGUGAAUUUGAAGUGGUGUUUUUUCUGUUGAAGAUUGUGUUCAGUCGAUUAGGGUUUGUUGGUGCUGUAAAUUCGAUCAGUGAGGUUUGUUCGAAGGAAAUUUAGGAGGCUAAGUUGAAUCACAAAUACGAUGCAAAAGAAGAAGAAGUCGGUCAUUCAUGGAUAACAAUUCUCUGUUCUCAUCUCCGUCCACAAAAAAUAUCAGAUGUUUCUCUAAUGGUGUUGUCGACAAGAAUGAGAAAGGCAAAAAGGAUUGUAUCUUUUGUACCACUAUUCGUGGAGAAUCCCAUGCAAGUAAGCCCACAAUGGAGUGGCACAUUUCGGGCAUGUGAAAUUUGCGUGUAUAGGGAGAAAUGGUGUUUGCUGCGAGCUGGUUAUGAUGGGUUUAGCUGGGGUUUCAAAGGGUUUGCAGAGGAGUUUGGUUAGAAAAUAAAAAGGGGUUCUGCUGGUUGUAUUCAAAGUAGUGGAUAUCGAGAUGGCAGAUUGAAAAAUGGAAGUUUCUUAGUGCAGGAUAGGGCUUGAUUCAGAAGCCAGAAAGGUUUAGUUGUGCUACUGGUCCAACUGUAUAAGAUGGGCAUGGUGGUUGCUUUAUAUGAAUGAGGAGAUGAUUUUUCUGGUGGUGGAGAAGGUGCAGUGGUUUUACUGUUGGUUAGAGGUUGAAGCUGAAUUAAAUGAAGAAGCUAAUGUUAUGAAGAGUAACAUUAGCUAAGUUUUCCAGGGAAAUGGUGGUGAGAUGUUGCAGUUGGUUGUUGUAGAGUGGCUAAUGAAGAUCGAGUUGAAAUCCAGAAAGGUGUUAUGGGUGUUGGUAUUGCACGAGCAUGGGCCGAUAAUGAACUGGAUUAGAGAAUAUAAGCGUCUUGGCCUAAAUGAGUGUGUAUUUGUAUAUGAAUUUUUGCAGGAAUUGGCUGGAAUCAAUGAAUGAAUGUAUGAAUGCUAUGCUGCUAUACAAGAGGUUUACUAUGCAGUUCUUUUUAUUUAAA